rnacentral:lncRNA from 1 species
AGAUGAGCAGACCAGAGACUGAGGUUUUGGGAAGCAUUUAUUGAGUGCCUGCUGUGGGACUUUGGCUGAAAUCAAAGCCACAGUGUGGCUAAGGGUUCACCCAGUCUCGGGGGCCAGACGACCCCCACCCUCCCUGCACAGACGACACCAAAGCAACUGCACUGGAGGCUUUGCUUCCCAAAGCCCAUGGAAUAAGCUCCAGGGAAGAGUGGGUCCUCCUUGCCUGGGAGGGCAUUGGGCCCUGCUUGGUGGGCAGCUCUGGGUCUUUCUCCUGACUCCGGGGGGCUUGGGAUUGGCCUGCAGGAGGUCAGGGUCUGAAGUAGGAGGCUUCAUGCAUCUGCACACCCUCCCCUGGGCCUUCCCACCCCACCACUGCCAGCCUCUGCACUUUUGCCUUGGCUGUGCCUCUGUGGGAAUGCCCUUCCCCUGAGAUCAUCCUCUGGGAUUAGUUCCUGUAUAAAAGGGACCCCAGAGAGCUCCCUUGCCCUUUCUGCCACAGCAAGAAGAUGGUCAUCUUGGAAUCAGGACGCUGGCGCUCACCAGACACCAAAUCAGCCACCAGCUUGGUCUUGGAGCUCCACACUCCAGAACUGUGAGAAAUAAAACUCUGUAGUUUAUGGUAUUUCUGUUAUAGAAGCCCGAACCAACUAAGGCACUGGUAAUGCUGAUUAUAUUAAUGUUGACUAAGCCUUCAUCUAAGUAUAUUGGCGUAUUUGAGGAACUUGAAACAGUGGUGGCCACAGCAGGUGCUUAAUAAAAGGGAUAUAUGUGCAUCUGUCCCAUUUUCCUUUGUCCUUAGAAGGGGCUGUCCCUGAAGGCCACCCGAUCCAAGCAAGCUGUCUGUGCUAAGCUUAUGUCACUAUUCAACCUUCAUUGUGUGCAGACAUUGUGGAGCACAUGCCCUGCACCAAGGCCACACCACUGCAGGCAGGUCUGAGGGAGCCACCAGGGCGCUGUUGGUGACAGCGUUUCACAGAGGGGCCACAGGAGCAGAGCGUCACCCGGCUGAGAGGUCGGCUUGCACGAGUUGCUCCUACAAUUC